rnacentral:tRNA from 1 species
GCCACUUUAGCUCAGAUGGUAGAGCAACUGACUUGUAAUCAGUAGGUCGCCCGUUCGAUUCGGGCAAGUGGCUCCA